CCUACGGGAGGCAGCAGUGGGGAAUAUUGCGCAAUGGGCGAAAGCCUGACGCAGCGACGCCGCGUGAGGGAUGAAGGUCUUCGGAUCGUAAACCUCUGUCAGCAGGGAAGAACGGUCACUGUGCUAAUCAGCAGUGAAUUGACGGUACCUGCAAAGGAAGCACCGGCUAACUCCGUGCCAGCAGCCGCGGUAAUACGGAGGGAGCGAGCGUUAAUCGGAAUUACUGGGCGUAAAGCGCUCGUAGGCGGUAUGUCAAGUCAAGGGUGAAAUCCCCGGGCUCAACGUGGGAACUGCCUUUGAAACUGGUAGACUGGAGUGUGAGAGAGGAUAGUGGAAUUCCAGGUGUAGGAGUGAAAUCCGUAGAUAUCGGGAGGAACAUCAGUGGCGAAGGCGACUAUCUGGCACAUCACUGACGCUGAGGAGCGAAAGCGUGGGUAGCAAACAGGAUUAGAUACCCCUGUAGUC
rnacentral:rRNA from 1 species